GAGCAUCUCAGAUCAACUAAACCAUAACACUUAAAAGUCACACACUUCUGGGUUGCCUAGGAUGCAAAAGGAAACGCUCUCCCUGUGCCUGUCUUUGUGGCAGUCCAGGUUGAACUGGGUAGCACAUCU